rnacentral:rRNA from 1 species
CAGCCCACUGAUAAAAUUUAAAUGGCCGCAGUACCUUGACUGUGCUAAGGUAGCAUAAUAAAUUGACUCUUAAUUGGGGCCUUGAAUGAAUGGAUAAAUGGAUAAUUUCUGUCUCAAAUAAAUUUAUUAAAAGUUACUUAAUAAGUGAAAAUUCUUAUAAUAUAAUAUAAUAGACGAGAAGACCCUAGGAGUUUAACAAAUUUUGUUGGGGCGACAAUAUAGCAUAUUUAUUAACCUAUAUACAUAAUAAUAAAUAUUAAACGAAUAAUAUUAAUAAUAAAUAAACUACCCUAGGGAUAACAGCAUAAUAUAAGUUUAAGUUUGUGACCUCGAUGUUGGACUAGGAACUUUUAACAUUAACAAUGUUAAUUGACAGUUCUGUUCGA